UCGCGAGCUGCGGAAGGCCGUCGUCCUCCACGCGCUGCAAGGAGGGCGUCUCCUCGGAGGAGGGGAACCGCGCUGUUCGGUGGUCUCCCCCAGGCCCGCCAUUCCGGCAGCAGCUGCUCCUGUUUCCUCCGUCUGCGUGGAGAAUCAAAGGUUGCUGGGAGUCUGCCCGUGGCUGAUGAUGUCAUUGCAAGGAACUGAAGGAGGGUGGCUGGCUGGAGAUCAGGCGUCCACGGCGUGCAGGAGCUCGCCCGAAGGCCCACUGCGGCUACCUGGACGCUGUUCCGGAGAUCAUCGACAUCAGCAACAAAGAUAGGUCGAGCUGCUGCAUGUUAUUGAUUUUGUUGGACAGCUUCAAAACACCGAGAUCCAUUCGAGUUCACUCGCAGAUGCUUAUCCUGUCAAGGCAGUCGUACAGGAAGAUGCAUUUGAGCUGUGCAAGGACAACAGAUACAGCCAGCCAACAGGGAAGAGUGGGCUGUCAGCCGCAGAAAAUUGAUGACAUUGUACAACUCCGUGGGCUGCCAUGACUCCGACAUGGCUCUAACGACCACCUCCCCAACAAGCUACUGCCGGUUGAAAGCAUGUCGGAGGAGGAUCUGAAGGGCGAGAACCGGCGUCGCAGUGGAACCGGGAGGAGGAGGUGUGGUGGCGAACACCAUCUGCGACAUCAAAUAGUGCAUCGUGGAGGCGCUCAGGUGGUUGUGAAUGGACUAGUCUACUGAUUGCGAUUGUUUUAGUGUACGGAGCUUCCACUUGUUCUUCUGGAUUUAACGAUUGAAUUGGUUCUAUAUUGGUUGGACAAUAGUUCAAAUGGUCCCGUAAAUCUCAAAUGGUUCCCUAAAUCUCAAAUGGUUCGGUCAUAAUUGAACUUUUGCUUACAGUAUCUCAUCCCCUUAUUAUUUUGUUGCAUGCAAAUGGUGUAGCGUGAUUCCAGUUAUGCCUAAGUUGGGAACAAUAGGUUCUUAAUUGUCGAUUGUUGGAUGCUUAAGUUGGGUACAUGUGCGUUUAUUAGUGGCUGUUAUUUGGAUCCUUCUAUAAAUAUAAGUGUUUUUUUUACCUGACCAUGCUUUGUUCUUGCUCGAGGAUAACUAGGGGGGCUAAACAAUGAGAGCGGUCGCCUUGGUGUGACCCCAUGUGUUUAGUACUGGAAUCGUGCCAUUGCAGGUACUAGUUGAUAUUCUCAGCAUUUAACAUGCUAGUCAAGCUGGACUGCGUGUUUGAAUGCAUCUAGAGGUGCAGCGAGGCAAGCCAACGGUGAAGCGCGGGCAAGGCAGACGCACCAAACGACGACAUUGUAGAACUGUGUUGCCGGCUAGCUCAGGCGGAGCCGCUGCCGUGCUGGCCUAGGACCGGUUGGGUAAUUGUGUUGGUGCUGUCAUAUUCAUCAUCCAGAGGUGGUAGUAGCCCGAUGAAUUGUGUGUGUAAUAAUAAUAUUCAUUCAUGCUCCGGAUGGGAUGGCAGAGCAGAGUUUGUUGUACUGUAAUAGCAAGCGGUGUGAGUUCGCAUGGUAGCUGCAAUAUUUUGAAUGAUUGGAUGAGCCUUGCGAUUUAGAAGCUG